CUAAUUGCCGUCAUCGGGUUCCUGCAUUCUGGUGAAAUUCGUGAAGAGAAAAAGACUUUAUUUCAGCUUUUCAAAUAAUGGACGCACUACAAAAAUUUGUAACUGAAAAUGAUUUGGACCUAGUUUGCCUUAUACAUUUAAUUGACUGUGGCUAUACCUAUGAAAAAACAUCAUCUGUAGUUCAGAAAAUAGUUUGGAUGCAAUUGUUAAGGAGUUUCCUUUGUUUAAGCAGGCCAUGGGACAUAAAUUUUUGGAACACGAUUUUAAUAUACUGUACCCGAACAGAAAAUAUUGCUUAACAACUAAGGGGGAGGAAAUAGUCCCGAAGCUUAUAUCGUACUACUCUAUUAACGUCAAGGACAAAUUUUAACAAAAUCUCUUUACCUCAUUAAGUUUUUCUGUUUCUCCAAGCUCAAAAGACUGCAUAAUAUUUAUGCUUUUGCACGCUGUUGUAAAGCCCUCUUACCGAUAUACAGUAACACAAGUCAGCGAGAAGUUUUGUCGUAAGGCAACAAUUCAAGACAGCGUGAGCAGCACUAUUUUGCAUGUUGAAGCCAUAAAUGACUUGCAAAAUAAACUGGAAGAGGUUAACAGGAAAUAUGUGGAGAAUAAUACGCCUAUUCAACCAUUUAUAAUUGUUGUGGGUAUAGAUAUCCAAAACUUGACAGAGUUUUAUGUAAGCUUUGGGGAAAGCCUGUACAAAUUUAGUUCGUUUAUAGUAGCUUUAGAUAUUUGUUUUAAAGUCUAUCAGGUAUUCGGCCUUAACUACCCAAAGGAGUCCAACAAGAUAUGGACUUUCUUACAGGAUUUUGUUUUUAAUAUAAAAACUCCAUUCGAUGUUAAAUAUUCUUGUGUGUCUAGUUUAAUUGAAUCAACUUUUAUCAAUACAUUAAAUAACUUAGAAAAUAAUUUUAAAGACGUUGUAAUAAAUAGCUUAGAGUACAAAGGUAUUAUAUAUAAAAAUGAUUUUUGUUUAACUCUAAAAAAAUAUGGGGAGGGUAUAAAAUUGCAUAAAAUAAGAUACAUUUUAAUUAACCAUGAAGAUGAAAUAUUUAUUUUAAGUGACCAGUAUAAUCUUUUUGAGUUUGAUGAGCAUUACCAAUCUUAUAAACUUGGUCAAAAAGAAAAUUUCCUACAAAUUAAUAAAAUAAAUAUUUUUAAGGGACCCCCCACUACCAUUUAUAAAAAAUCGAAUGUUAGUUAUGUA